UAGGGAAUCUUCGGCAAUGGACGAAAGUCUGACCGAGCAACGCCGCGUGAGUGAAGAAGGUUUUCGGAUCGUAAAACUCUGUUGUUAGAGAAGAACAAGGACGUUAGUAACUGAACGUCCCCUGACGGUAUCUAACCAGAAAGCCACGGCUAACUACGUGCCAGCAGCCGCGGUAAUACGUAGGUGGCAAGCGUUGUCCGGAGUUAUUGGGCGUAAAGCGAGCGCAGGCGGUUUCUUAAGUCUGAGGUGAAAGCCACCGGCUCAACCGGGGAGAGUCAUUGGAAACUGGGAUACUUGAGUGCAGAAGAGGAGAGUGGAAUUCAAUGUGUAGCGAUGAAAUGCGUAGAUAUAUGGAGGAAACCCAGUGGCGAAGUCGGCUCACUGGUCUGUAACUGACGCUGAGGCUAGAAAGCGUGGUGAGCAAACAGG
rnacentral:rRNA from 1 species